GACGAACGCUGGCGGCGUGCUUAACACAUGCCAGUCGAACGGAAAGGCCCUGCUUUUGUGGGGUGCUCGAGUGGCGAACGGGUGAGUAACACGUGAGUAACCUGCCCUUGACUUUGGGAUAACUUCAGGAAACUGGGGCUAAUACCGGAUAGGAGCUCCUGCUGCAUGGUGGGGUUGGAAAGUUUCGGCGGUUGGGGAUGGACUGGCGGCUUAUCAGCUUGUUGGUGGGGUAGUGGCUUACCAAGGCUUUGACGGGUAGCCGGCAUGAGAGGGUGACCGGCGACAAUGGGACUAAGAUAGGGACCAGACUCGAACGGGAGGCAGCAGGGGGGAAUAUUGCACAAUGGGCGGAAGCCUGAUGCAGAAACGCCGCGUGCGGGAUGACGGCCUUCGGGUUGUAAACAGAUUUCGAAUGUGACGAAGCGUGAGUGACGGUAAUGGGUAAAGAAGCACCGGCUAACUACGUG
rnacentral:rRNA from 1 species